rnacentral:rRNA from 1 species
UACGUAGGGGGCAAGCGUUGUCCGGAAUCAUUGGGCGUAAAGAGCGCGUAGGCGGUCCGGUAAGUCCGCUCUGAAAGUCCGGGGGCUCAACCCCGGGAGGCGGGCGGAUACUGUCGGGCUAGAGUCCGGAAGAGGCGAGUGGAAUUCCUGGUGUAGCGGUGAAAUGCGCAGAUAUCAGGAAGAACACCCGUGGCGAAGGCGGCUCUCUGGGACGGUACUGACGCUGAGACGCGAAAGCGUGGGGAGCGAACAGG